AGAGUUUGAUCCUGGCUCAGAACGAACGCUGGCGGCAGGCUUAACACAUGCAAGUCGAACGCGUGUAGCAAUACACGAGUGGCGCACGGGUGAGUAAUGCAUGGGAACGUCCCUUAGAGUUCGGAAUAACCUCGGGAAACUGAGGCUAAUACCGGAUAUUCUCUCCGGAGGAAAGAUUUAUCGCUCUAAGAUCGGCCCAU
rnacentral:rRNA from 1 species